AUUGAACGCUGGCGGCAGGCCUAACACAUGCAAGUCGGGCGAGUGGCGGACGGGUGAGUAAUGUCUGGGGAUCUGCCUGAUGGCGGGGGAUAACUACUGGAAACGGUAGCUAAUACCGCAUACCAUCAGAUGAACCCAUAUGGGAUUAGCUUGUAGGUGUGGUAAAGGCUCACCUAGGCGAAGAUCCCUCGCUGGUCUGAGAGGAUGAUCAGCAACACUGGGACGCAGACACGGGCCAGACUCAUACGGGAGGCAGCAGUGGGGAAUAUUGCACAAUGGGCGCAAGCCUGAUGCAGCCAUGCCGCGUGUAUUAAGAAGGCCUUCGGGUUGUAAAGUACUUUCAGUCGGGAGGCGUUACCGGCAGAAGAAGCACCGGCUAACUCCGUGCCAGCAGCCGCGGUAAUUC
rnacentral:rRNA from 1 species